GAUGAACGCUGGCGGCGUGCUUAACACAUGCAAGUCGAACGGAAAGGCCCAAGCUUGCUUGGGUACUCGAGUGGCGAACGGGUGAGUAACACGUGGGUGAUCUGCCCUGCACUUCGGGAUAAGCCUGGGAAACUGGGUCUAAUACCGGAUAGGACCACUUCUUGGAUGUUGUGGUGGAAAGUUUUUCGGUGUGGGAUGAGCUCGCGGCCUAUCAGCUUGUUGGUGGGGUAAUGGCCUACCAAGGCGUCGACGGGUAGCCGGCCUGAGAGGGUGUACGGCCACAUUGGGACUGAGAUACGGCCCAGACUCCUACGGGAGGCAGCAGUGGGGAAUAUUGCACAAUGGGAGCAAGCCUGAUGCAGCGACGCCGCGUGGGGGAUGACGGCCUUCGGGUUGUAAACUCCUUUCGCUAGGGACGAAGCUUAUUUUGUGACGGUACCUGGAGAAGAAGCACCGGCUAACUACGUG
rnacentral:rRNA from 1 species